AUAGCUAUUUUGCUUGUGACUGUACAGAAUGUUAGAAAUCCAGCUGCUAUGACCCAACGUGUGUGUUUCUCUUAGACCAAAAAACCUCGCACAUUCCGGUGUGUCAAAAUUUGAACCGUACCCGUUUUUUUUUCUUUUUUCUUUUUGUAAUAUCUUGAAGUUCAGAUCCAAAGGUCCUACAUCUUCCAGAGGCGGGACCCACAUCAGGUUAAAUUCAUCUAUUUUAGAAAAGUGGUCCCUCCCAACGUGCCUCGAACCCAACACCUCCACCUGGGAGAUUUACCACUAGGUCAACAGUACGUUGGUCAACCGUACCCGUUCUUCACUUCACUGGUGCAAACUCUUCUUCCCUUAAUACCUGCAUCAUUUCUCAAUCCAGUUUCCAGUUCAUGGAUGGUAUAUUGGUAUAUAUCUUCUUCUCCGCCAAAUGAGGCUGCCAAAAACAAAGACAUCAACUCGUCUUUGUUUUUAGGUCGGUGGCCACUUAUCUAAAGUGAGCAUGUGUAAGCACACCUGAGUAAAGUAAAUAAAUUUAAUGAUUUCAGCUGAUGCUUGGUACAUAGACCACUAUCUUCUA
rnacentral:sRNA from 1 species